rnacentral:rRNA from 1 species
UACGUAGGGUGCAAGCGUUAAUCGGAAUUACUGGGCGUAAAGCGUGCGCAGGCGGCUAUGAAAGACAGAUGUGAAAUCCCCGGGCUCAACCCUGGAACUGCCUUUGAUACUGACGAUCUGGAGAUCGGGAGAGGUUGGUGGAAUUCCGAGUGUAGAGGUGAAAUUCGUAGAUAUUCGGAGGAACACCAGAAGCGAAGGCGGCCAACUGGCCCGAUACUGACGCUGAGGCGCGAAAGCGUGGGGAGCAAACAGG